rnacentral:rRNA from 1 species
UCGAGGGAUGCAAGCGUUAUCCGGAAUUAUUGGGCGUAAAGCGUUUGUAGGCGGGCGAGUGUGUUUAAUGUUAAAUCUUAAAGCUCAACUUUGAAAUUGCGUUAAAAACUGCUUGUCUUGAGUAUGGUAGGGGUAAAGGGAAUUCCCAGUGUAGCGGUGAAAUGCGUAGAUAUUGGGAAGAACACUAAACAGCGAAGGCACUUUACUAGGCUAAUACUGACGCUGAGAAACGAAAGGUAAGGUAGCGAAACGGAUUAGAUACCCGUGUAGUCUUACCCGUAAACUAUGGACACUAAACGGUAAAUUUUUAAUUUACUGUUAAAGCUAACGCGUUAAGUGUCCCGCCUGGGGAGUAUGCUUGCAAAAGUGAAACUCAAAGGAAUUGACGGGGGCCCGCACAAGCGGUGGAGCAUGUGGUUUAAUUCGACGGUACACGAAGAACCUUACCAGGAUUUGACAUGCUAGAUAGUUGCUUGAAAGAGUAACGUGCCGUAAGGAAUCUAGACACAGGUGGUGCAUGGCUGUCGUCAGUUCGUGUUGUGAAAUGUUGGGUUAAGUCCCGCAACGAACGCAACCCUUGUCUUUAGUUAUCUUCUAAAGAGACUGCCUGUAAUAAACAGGAGGAAGGUAAGGAUGAGGUCAAGUCAUCAUGCCCCUUAUGUCCUGGGCUACACACGUGCUACAAUGGGAAAGACAAUGAGCUGCAAAUCUGUAAAUUUAAGCAAAUCUCUUAAACUUUCUCGUAGUUCGGAUUGUGGUCUGCAACUCGCCCACAUGAAGUUGGAAUCGCUAGUAAUCGCCAGUCAGCUAUAUGGCGGUGAAUCCGUUCCCGGGCCU